rnacentral:rRNA from 1 species
AGCAGUCGCCGCGGGAAUACGUAGGGUGCAAGCGUUAAUCGGAAUUACUGGGCGUAAAGCGUGCGCAGGCGGUUUGUUAAGACAGAUGUGAAAUCCCCGGGCUCAACCUGGGAACUGCAUUUGUGACUGGCAAGCUAGAGUCUGGCAGAGGGGGGUGGAAUUCCGCGUGUAGCAGUGAAAUGCGUAGAUAUGCGGAGGAACACCGAUGGCGAAGGCAGCCCCCUGGGCCAACACUGACGCUCAUGCACGAAAGCGUGGGGAGCAAACAGGAUUAGAUACCCGCGUAGUCCCUGUCUCUUAUAC